GAUGAACGCUGGCGGCGUGCCUAAUACAUGCAAGUCGAGCGAACAGACGAGGAGCUUGCUCCUUUGACGUUAGCGGCGGACGGGUGAGUAACACGUAGGUAACCUACCUAUAAGACUGGGAUAACUUCGGGAAACCGGAGCUAAUACCGGAUAAUAUUUCGAACCGCAUGGUUCGAUAGUGAAAGAUGGCUUUGCUAUCACUUAUAGAUGGACCUGCGCCGUAUUAGCUAGUUGGUAAGGUAACGGCUUACCAAGGCAACGAUACGUAGCCGACCUGAGAGGGUGAUCGCCCACACUGGAACUGAGACACGGUCCAGACUCCUACGGGAGGCAGCAGUAGGGAAUCUUCCGCAAUGGGCGAAAGCCUGACGGAGCAACGCCGCGUGAGUGAUGAAGGUCUUCGGAUCGUAAAACUCUGUUACUAGGGAAGAACAAACGUGUAAGUAACUGUGCACGUCUUGACGGUACCUAAUCAGAAAGCCACGGCUAACUACGUG
rnacentral:rRNA from 1 species